GCAUAUCAAUAAGCGGAGGAAAAGAAACCAACAGGGAUUGCCUCAGUAGCGGCGAGUGAAGCGGCAAAAGCUCAAAUUUGAAAUCUGGCGUCUUUGGCGUCCGAGUUGUAAUUUGAAGAAGGUAUCUUUGGGCCCGGCUCUUGUCUAUGUUCCUUGGAACAGGACGUCACAGAGGGUGAGAAUCCCGUGCGAUGAGAUGACCCGGGUCUGUGUAAAGUUCCUUCGACGAGUCGAGUUGUUUGGGAAUGCAGCUCUAAGUGGGUGGUAAAUUCCAUCUAAAGCUAAAUAUUGGCGAGAGACCGAUAGCGAACAAGUACAGUGAUGGAAAGAUGAAAAGAACUUUGAAAAGAGAGUGAAAAAGUACGUGAAAUUGUUGAAAGGGAAGGGCUUGAGAUCAGACUUGGUAUUUUGCAUGUUGCUCUCUCGGGGGCGGCCGCUGCGGUUUACCGGGCCAGCAUCGGUUUGGAGCGGCAGGAUAAUGGCGGAGGAAUGUGGCACGGCUUCUGCUGUGUGUUAUAGCCUCUGACGAUACUGCCAGCCUAGACCGAGGACUGCGGUUUUUACCUAGGAUGUUGGCAUAAUGAUCUUAAGUCGCCCGUCUU
rnacentral:rRNA from 1 species